GACCCGUUCGUCUAACGGUUAGGACUCCAGAUUUUCAUUCUGGCAAUAGGGGUUCGAUUCCCCUACGGGUUGCCA
rnacentral:tRNA from 2 species